AAGAUCUAGUGAAACCUCGGGGGACAUUUUCUAGCGCAAUGCACAGGUCUAACUGCGCAUGGGUUGUGUUUUCGUUGUUCUGGUAUUUAUUUUCUUAGACGGGCAUGGUUAGAAAUGGCUUGCAAGACUGGCAAAGAGUUGAAUGUACAUUUUAAUACAACCGGUGUGGAAUAGUCAUGUUUCACAUCCUGGUCAAAGUAGCGGGUAAUGGAAAAUGCACAUACAACGCUGUCUGCAAACAUGGAGAGAAUCCUGCAGCUCCUCCCCCGCCCUCUGUCAUACUUCUUGCACUCUCACCUUGGUUGAAAUUCCAAAAGGUAGACAAAAAAAUUCUUAUGGGAAAACCAACAACAUCAAAAGGCACGGAAAGAUAUGCCUCAAAAACCGCAAUAACUUAACACUUACAUGAAAGUUUGAAAAUAUAACCGCCAAGUAUCUGCGUUUCUUGUGGCCUUUGGGUUUUGUUCCCACUUCUCAGACUGGGAGCGUCUGCUUCGGAUUUCCUACUAGUCAA